rnacentral:rRNA from 1 species
UACGUAGGGCGCAAGCGUUGUCCGGAAUUAUUGGGCGUAAAGAGCUCGUAGGCGGUUUGUCGCGUCUGCUGUGAAAACUCGGGGCUUAACCCGGCUCGGCCGUGCAGGUGGCGGGCAGACUAGAGUGCGGUAGGGGGAGACUGGAAUUCCUGGUGUAGCGGUGAAAUGCGCAGAUAUCAGGAGGAACACCAAUGGCGAAGGCAGCUCGCUGGGACGUGACUGACGCUGAGACGCGAAAGCGUGGGGAGCAAACAGG